UUAACUUGCUUCUGCGUUACAUGUACUAAAAUGGGAACGAUACAGAGAUAAUUGGCAUGGUCCCUACGCAAGGCUGACACGGGACAGAGUGAAGAGUUUCACAUUUUU